GCCAGUGUGGUGUAGUGGUUUGAGUAUUGGACUACAACUCUGGAGAUUAGGGUUCAGUUCCCUACUUUGCCA